rnacentral:lncRNA from 1 species
CAACUGUGCCAGGGACGUAGAAUGGGUACAACCUGGACUUCCUCUUACAUCGUGCCAGGGACGUAGAAUGGGUACAACCUGGACUUCCAUACCACAUCAUGCCAUAACAUCAUCAUAUCAUAUGAGGACUAAAGGAUCAUCCAAUAACCAAUCCACAUCAACAUCAACAUCAUAAAUGCAAUGCAACAUAUUCGUGAAUACUAAUGCAAACAACCUACUAUAUCUCAUGGCAUUCAUGAUGCAUUGAUCAUGCUCAAAAUUCAUAUUUCAUUUAUUUUAAAACUUAAGGUUUAUUCCACUCACCUCUGGCUAGCUCUGACAAACUCUGUAGCAGCUGGCUCACUACUGGGGUCCUUGGUUCCUCGGGUCCGAACCUACACAGGUGGACUCCAAUGAGGGACCAAACAUACAUAAACAUAACUCUAACAUACUCCCCAAAAACCCCCUAAAACAUCAUGAAAACAUCACAUAAAAACAUGCA